UGUCUUGAAAAAACCAAAAACAUAAACAAAC
rnacentral:piRNA from 1 species